rnacentral:misc_RNA from 1 species
UUUCCGUAGGUGAACCUGCGGAAGGAUCAUUAACGAAUUAUGUGUCUUUAUUGACACUUCUCCAUUUCAAACACCUGUGAACGAUUUUAAAUCUUUGCUUUGGCCAAAGAUGCGAAAGUAUUUUUUGGCCAAAGGUUUACAAAUCAAACUCUUUAUUUUAACUAUUUUGUCUGAAAAUGAUUAUAUUAAUAAAUCAAAACUUUCAACAACGGAUCUCUUGGUUCUC